rnacentral:rRNA from 1 species
UACGUAGGGUGCAAGCGUUACUCGGAAUUACUGGGCGUAAAGCGUGCGCAGGCGGUUUUGUAAGACUGUCGUGAAAUCCCCGGGCUUAACCUGGGAAUGGCGAUGGUGACUGCAAGGCUAGAGUUUGGCAGAGGGGGGUAGAAUUCCACGUGUAGCAGUGAAAUGCGUAGAGAUGUGGAGGAACACCGAUGGCGAAGGCAGCCCCCUGGGUCAAGACUGACGCUCAUGCACGAAAGCGUGGGGAGCAAACAGG